GAUACUGAACAGCCAAUUGCACCAGGUAUGAAGUAUAAGCAUUACUCACCCAAUACACCACUUACA
rnacentral:sRNA from 1 species